rnacentral:misc_RNA from 1 species
GGUGAAUGAACUGUAACGGAAUUCGAAUUAACAUUACGGGUAAUGUUCACAGACCCAAAAUUAUUAGGGGCACGACCGGUGGUUUGAAACAGAGUGGUGACGAGUUUUCCGGUAGGUGGUAUAAGUCGAAGGUCCGACCAUGAAAAGUACUCAAGAAGAACAUGGUAACGAGGGACAUCGCCGAGAUUCGAAUUUGAAGAGAAUGG